rnacentral:tRNA from 1 species
UAAAACGAAGUAAUUUUUGCGUUUCAUUUACACUGAAAAGUUUAUCUAUUAUUUAGAUCGUUUUAA